GUGGCAUGUGAAAUAGAUGACUUUGCUUCACUUUCCUUUGGCUUUAUAGAGAUGCAGGAGGAUGGUGUAACACCUGCUCAUGCUCACUACAGUUCUGUAAACAGUGUGUGUGAGAGUUGAUUAAGUAUUUGCGUAUUAAUAUUACUACCUAGCAAUCUCAAAUUAUUCACCACGAAGAGCCUUUCCUGAGAUUGUCAAUUCCAUUUUAUUCAUGUUUGCUGAUUUUGUAUCUGCUGAAUGCCAGCUCUCUCUUUUCCAUGGGGUAGGAUUGCAGGAUCUGUGCUCUUUGUUUUAAUAACUUUCUCCUCUUUGAAAUGCCAUUAUUUCUGGUCUGUUUUUAGAUGAUGAAGGAUAGACACUGUGAUGGGCACUAAAGCAUGGACUUGAAGUGUGCACUCUGGUGGCAGGUACUCCUAUCUGGUCCUGAUGGUCUGACGUGUCUGAGGAGGGCUUAGGUGCUGUGUGUCUUAGCUGUGGUUUUCUCCAUUUAUUAAUUUCAGUUUUGAUUGAAAUGUUUGUCUUUAUUUAUAGCAUAUCCAUGAGCUGUGUUGCAACAGAGAAGGUAAGUUUGGAGCUGGGGGUGAAGGGAUUGACAACCAAGCUCUGGAUAGUUAAUCUGUUUUGGUUUUGUUUUUUCUGGUGCAAUCCUUAAAGUUUAUAGACAGAUGUUGGAUCUAUGGACAUCUGUCAGGUUGAUCAGACAGCUGCUAAAACUAUUACAAAAUGGCAAAUGACAUUUAUUAUAUAUUAUAUGGGGAGAAGAAGAGACUAAUUUGAGAAUUAGAUUUUUACCAUUCUUUCAGUAUUUAUUUGUCCUUUUAGAUAGAGACACAGAUGCAAAUUUACCAAUGUGUUCAAUGAGAUAUUUUUCCUAUUCAUUUUCCUGAUUGAGAACUAGGGUUAAUGUUGCACUUGUUGCUAGAGGCUAUUGAGCUGGUCAUGCUCACUUUUCUCUGCUGAGCUCAGUGAGUUUUGCUCUCCACUCUAUGAUGGGGGAUUGGUGGUUGCUAUUAGCUGUGCUUUAAAGACAAGAAUUCCUGGGUUUGGUCGAGUUUAGGACAUGUUUGUUCUAAAGCCUAAUAAAAGCAUUAGGUAAUAUAGAUCUCAGUUCUCUGCUAUGGGAUAUAAGGGACUUGCCUGUCAAUACAUCUGAAUUACCUUGUUUUGACUGGUAAUUAAAUCUGGAUCUCUUCCUUAGCUAACAAAGCAAACAGUCUCAGAUAUGCUUUGCUGGGCAUAAUCGUGUAGACAGCAAGGUUUUAUUAUUUGUGAGGAAAAAUGCAUUAUAAGAAUAUGAAAUCUACAUGACCUUCAAUGAAAACAAAGAAAUAAAAUUUUAUGAGAUACAGUAUAUUGAUGCCCCAACUUGGAGGUAGGAAUUCCUGAGCAGUGAUUUUGUUUUAAUUGUCAUUAAAGCUCUGUGUGCAAUCUGUACUUCUGCAGGAAAUGUGAAAUACCCCAGGGAUUGGCUGGCUGCCUGAAGGACCCCAGGAUCUGCCUUUCAUGGCAAGUGACUUGAGCAUUGAUGUGCCCAUGGUAGCAGUUCAGGUCAGACUGCAGGAACCAAUGCUGUUGGCAGCCUGGGUCCCUGCGAGUUGGCUGUGUCGGUGCUGAUGAUUUUGGGGUGACUGUGGAAGAUGUGCCUGGAAAGCUACAAAUUAGCUUGUUAUCCCAUUGUGAUCUGGGGAUGUACCAGGAAAAUACAAAGUUUCCUUUGGCAUGGGUGGCUUGGAGGAACCUGACCCACCUACAACUGAUGUAAAUAUGUUAAACUAAAGGACAGCAGGUGACAAUGAUUGGUUUUGUGUUGAUAAUGUCAUGAACUGUCAGCUGUGAUCUAAUUUAAACAUGUGCCUUGUGAUUACUCCCAGUGCUCCAAAAACUUAUGCUUGGUUUCUGCCUUAGACUUUACUGUUUGCACUUUUGACUUCUGAUGCUUUUUCCUGUAUUUUCUCUCUGUGCAGCUUCUUUUUGCUUUAUGAUGAAAUGGAUUUCCUACAGAGUCUUUCAAAACAUGGAAAGUAAUAAAAUCUCUUUGGUCAUGACC